GCAUCCAUAGCUCAAUUGGAUAGAGCAUCACCCUCCGACGGUGAAGGUUCCAGGUUUGAACCCUGGUGGAUGCGCCA
rnacentral:tRNA from 1 species